ACAGGCCCCUGGCCCCAAACCGUUGAUACCAUUUUGAUUAAAUCUUAACCGCUGACAUAGUCACGCACACACAACCCAACGAACCUCGAGAUGUAGAAUUUCGUGAAAACCGGGGAAGACCAUCACUCUCGAGGUCGAGAGCAGCGACACUAUCGACAAUGUCAAGGCCAAGAUCCAGGGCAAGGAGGGCAUUCCACCGGACCAGUAGUACUUGAUCUUCACCAGAAAGAGUCGACUCUUCAUCUACUGCUGAGGCUCCGCGGAAGGAUUAUUAAGCUUUCUCUGAUGCCCUUGGUUCACAAGUACAAUCACGAGAAGAUGAUUUGCAGAAACUGCUAUACUUGUCUACAUCCAAGGGCUAUGAACUGCAGGAAGAAGAAGUGUGGCCACAUCAACCAGUUGAGCCGCAAGAAGAAAACCAAGAAGAAGAUGUUUGUUGCAUAUCAAAUUUUAGAUUAUGCAGAAUUACAAAGUGAAAAAGAAGACAGCUUGAAUGGUCCGACCUGCAUCUAGGUUGUCGUGGAGGAAAUUAGGAAAUAGUUGCUCGAUGACUGAGGAAGAUGACUUGAAUAACGUCGUCCCUUUCUUUGUUGUGUGGUGCAGUGCUUGGUCAAUCACAAGUACUUCGACAGUUGCGAAGGAAGCUAGUUCUUUUAGGGUUUUUUUUUUUUUUGUGCUUUUGUAUGUUUCUAUUUUGGGCUCUUCCCUUAGGCUAGGCUUUCGUUUAGUGUUGGGGGUUCAUUAUUUAUUAUGUGUUUAAAGUGUAAUUGGGCCCUUUGUAUGUAUUGAUAAUCUGAUAAUGAAAAUUACCUUCGACCCAAAA